GGACUGCUAUCAGCCCUGUCAUUGCCACCAAGUGGUCAGGGGUGUGAAUUGCAAUCUGUCAAAAUGACAGAUGGCCUUCAGAUUUUUCCGUCACCGUUUAAAAAAACCCGUCAAUGACGGAAAAUAUUCGGUUAACGCGACCUCUGUUUUGAAGCAUUACAUAACUCC